rnacentral:rRNA from 1 species
GAUGAACGCUAGCGGCAGGCUUAAUACAUGCAAGUCGAGGGGCAGCACGGGUAGCAAUACCUGGUGGCGACCGGCAAACGGGUGCGGAACACGUACGCAACUUUCCCAAAACUGGUGAAUAGCCCUCCGAAAGGAGGAUUAAUACACCGUAACAUAAUGAAGUGGCAUCACUUUAUUAUUAUAGCUCCGGCGGUUUUGGAUGGGCGUGCGCCUGAUUAGGUAGUUGGCGGGGUAACGGCCCACCAAGCCUUCGAUCAGUAACUGGUGUGAGAGCAUGAUCAGCCACACGGGCACUGAGACACGGGCCCGACUCCUACGGGAGGCAGCAGUAAGGAAUAUUGGUCAAUGGACGCAAGUCUGAACCAGCCAUGCCGCGGUGGAGGAUGAAGGCCCUCUGGGUUGUAAACUUCUUUUCUUUGGG